CCGGAAGCUCUUGAGGCUUUUGAAUGUCUUAAGACUGCGUUCGCUUCUGCUCCUAUUUUACAGCAUCCUGUCCCUUCUUUGCCUUUAAUUCUUGAAGUUGAUGCUUCAAAUAUUGGGGUGGGUGCUGUCUUGUCUCAAAGGGAAUCACCAGAGAAGCCAUUAUAUCCUUGUGGUUUCUUUUCCAAGCAGAUGUCCAAGGCCGAAAAGAAUUAUGACAUAG